rnacentral:rRNA from 1 species
UGCGUAGGUGGCCGGGUAAGUCCGAUGUGAAAUCUCCGAGCCUAACUCGGAAACUGCAUCGGAUACUAUUCGGCUGGAGGGUUGGAGGGGGGACGUGGAAUACUUGGUGUAGCAGUGAAAUGCGUAGAUAUCAAGUGGAACACCAGUGGCGAAGGCGAGUCCCUGGACAACUCCUGACACUGAGGCACGAAAGCUAGGGGAGCAAACA